AUAGGAUAAAAUCAACCGUCGAAGUUGACCAUUGGAAGUGGUCCAAGUCGGAGAGAAUCGCUAGAGGUGAUCGUCGUCACCGGAGUGAGGUUCCACUUCUCGCUUACCUGUUGUCAAUCGUCAAAGUUAGGCGUUAGAAGUUGUCGUCGGAGCAUGUUGCCGGUCAUAAUAGUCGUCGGAGCAUGAGCCUCUCAAGGUAUGCUAACCGCAGCCAUGAGGAAUGGACAAAUUGAUGGCUGAUACAUACAAUCGAUUCGGUAUAUUAUUUAUUUUUCCUUUAAUUUUGGGCUAGUUCGUUUUUAUAUCUGCUUGAGAAUCAAUCGGAUGGUUAUUGUAUUUUGUGAUAGGAAGUACAAAUGUGGUGAAAUUUAGUUCAAAUCUCGGUAUUUUUCAAAAAUUAUCCGGGGCCUUGAGUCUUUGUAUGGAUGAUCACUAUCUUUAAAUUCUAUGAAAUGGUCAAUGCCAAAUUUGUAAUUGACUGGGAGGCUACCAUUUUUGCUUUUGUUGCUUAUCGACCAAUAGAAAAACAAAAUUGUGCAUCCAGAUCAUAUUGACGAACGUGUACUCAAUUAGCAACCUUGUGAAGACAUAAAAGUAAAGCAGAUAGAAGAUUCUCUAUAAUUAAAAUCUAGUGAUGUGGGGUGUAUGAUGUAGAUGUAUUUUCCUGGUUGAUGUGCUUCUCAAUCUAAAGGGAUCUUUUCUUUGCAAAAUAACAUUGUUUUGGCUUACAAAUGGGAGGGAUUUUAUUGUCAAUCCCCAAUGUGUAUAUGUAUGUAUGUGUGUGUGUAUAUUUAUAUAUUAUCGUUGUAUAGUUUUUGAACCUA